CCUCCUCUUCUUGGUGGGGGUCGGGCGUGUGGCCCCAACCCCCGUAAUGUACCGAGGGAGAGGGAAAGGGCUCCGGCCCCCUCGGCGUCAUGUCUUCGACGCCGACGGUUUCCAGUCCACCGGUUCUAUCCUCAAGCACCGGGACACGG